CUCCCACUAAAUGCUUCAUGCAGAACGGAGAGAAAGAAACCCAUCAAGAUUUCGCUGCCAGCUGUGCUUUCUGUCUCCGACAAUUUCAUUUAAUUGAACCACGAUAAGCCCAAGCUUUUCAGCUCUAUAACUAUCACCCUUGCAUAAACCCUUAUCUCCUACCCAUUAUGUCGCUGCAAUCGUGGCUAUCUCUGGCUACAGUCAUUCAACCGUUCUGGCAAAAGGCAAACGUCUUCAGACCUUAUCUCCUACCCAUUUUGUGAGUGAAGAUUGUUUUUUGUUUCACAUCCUUUGCACAUUUGUUGUAAAGGUAUGUUUUUUGGGUUUUUAUACAAAUUUAAUGUUCUUCAGAGAAAUUAGUAAUUACAUAGAUAUAUAGUUACCAAAUAAAUUUCAUCAAUUUUAUGGAAUGGAAAGAACACCAUCUUGGAGAAGUUGAGAGAAAAACACGUCAAAAUUGGGUGUAGCCCUUUCCCAAAUAAAAAUGCUCAUGUUCCCCAAAUGAAACCACAGCGUGAUUUGGUAUGCAUUGAUGGCAUUUUAUUUAUUUAGUGGAGGAUAGGUAAAAAAUUUGAAACCUGUUGAUUUGCAGCCUGAAGUGGGCAAGCUAUUAGCUAUAUAUCUGCAAUUCAUUCUACUCACCAAAUUCGACUAUAAGAUUUUAUUUUGGACCAUGGAAAUUUUGUUUGACGUUUUUCAGUUGCUCUUCUGGCUCUAGAUUUUGGAACAAGUGGAGGCUAGUAAGUCAAAAUUUAUUUCCAUUGUGGAAGCAUCUAUAUUUUUUGUACAAUUACACAGUAUGAUACAGAAUUAUAGUAGAAUUUAUUUGUUGGAUUUCUAUACUGGUAUAGAAAAUUGCUUCAGUUUUUAUGGAGCAAUCUGUGUUCUCCCAGCAUCAAUAGCAAUACGUGUUGGUAAGUUUAGUGAUUUUGCGUUUGCCUAUUCAAAUAAGAAGAAAUUACAAUACAUCAUACAGUAAGGAAAACUCUAAAUACGGGUUCAGUUGAUUAGUCCUUUACUUCCUUGAUAAGUCAUGCAAUAAUAAUUUUCAACUUCUCUAAUUAUUGUUUGCCAUGUAGGAAUGAGAGGGAGGAAUUAUGGUGUUCGUCACAGUUGUAGAAGCAGGAUCACUACUUCGGAGAUUGCAAGAGAAAAGUUCGCUGUCCACGGGAUGUAGGUGAAAUUCAGAAAUGUUUUGAGGUUGAAAAAAAAAAGGCAAUAACAAAGGCCGACUAUUCAAAACUUGCAGCAACUCUUGCGAAUUUUUUGACUAGGUAAGAACAGAAAAAUCAAGCGAAGAGUCGAUAGCAUUAAUGAAGUGAUGAAUCCUAUUACCAAUGAGGAAGUCGAUAAUUUUCCAAGAAUGUUCGAACGUCUAGCCGAAUUGUUAAGAAAUGAAACGUCGAGAUUUUGUUGAACAUGACAUUCUACAAAGGAAAAGAGCCCUCAAAGGAUAAUGGAAAAGGAAAGGGCCAAGAAUAAUUAUUAGUUAUAUUCAUUCUUGCACUCUAGUUUUGUUGUUGGGUUUGUAAUGUCAUGAGAGGGUGGAAAAAAAUAGAAGAACCCUACAAUUUUCAUUUUCAAUGAUUGCCAUGAGGGGCCUCUUUUUUAUUUGUAUCAUAUCAUGUGGACCGCUUUUGAUGUCAACUCGGCCACCUUGGUUCUCUUUAUGUACAAUUUUUCAUAAAUGAAGAACGCAA
rnacentral:lncRNA from 1 species